GACUCCGUAGCUUGUAGGAAUAGAAGCGCCCGUCUAGCGAAUUGGGAGUCGUGAGUUCGAGUCUCACCGGAGUAC
rfam:Aedes albopictus isolate Foshan contig71083, whole genome shotgun sequence.